rnacentral:misc_RNA from 1 species
GUAGGUGAACCUGCGGUUGGAUCAUUAGAAAAUUUUGGAGCUUCUGCUUCCAAACACACUGUGUGCACUGUUAACUGUCUCUGGCGGACCGGGUUGGUCUUGACGGACCGGCUCCCCCGCCGAAGGACCGAAACUCCCGUUUAUUCGGAUGUUGGUUCGGUCCUGUUUGAACAACACCUUUCUGUAAACUUUGUCUGAACUUUCUUCACCUUGUGUGAGAAAUCUUAAACAACUUUUGGCAACGGAUCUCUUGGCUCUC